AUCUAUUCUGGAAUAAGGCUGUAACAUAACAAAAUGUGGAAAAAGUGAAGUGCUGUGAAUAAUUUAUGGAUACACUGUAUAUAGCUUUGGAAGAAAGCAG